rnacentral:rRNA from 1 species
GACGAACGCUGGCGGCGUGCUUAACACAUGCAAGUCGAGCGGAAAGGCCCUUCGGGGUACUCGAGCGGCGAACGGGUGAGUAACACGUGGGUAACCUGCCCUUCACUCUGGGACAACUCCGGGAAACCGGGGCUAAUACCGGAUACGACCCUUUGAGGCAUCUCUCGGGGUGGAAAGUUUUUCGGUGAAGGAUGACCCGCGGCCUAUCAGCUUGUUGGUGGGGUAAUGGCCUACCAAGGCAGUGACGGGUAGCC